rnacentral:rRNA from 1 species
AUCGGGAAGAACACCAGUGGCGAAGGCGCUCUGCUGGGCCAUCACUGACGCUCAUGGACGAAAGCCAGGGGAGCGAAAGGGAUUAGAUACCCCUGUAGUCCUGGCCGUAAACGAUGAACACUAGGUGUCGGGGGAAUCGACCCCCUCGGUGUCGUAGCCAACGCGUUAGGUGUUCCGCCUGGGGAGUACGCACGCAAGUGUGAAACUCAAAGGAAUUGACGGGGGCCCGCACAAGCGGUGGAGUAUGUGGUUUAAUUCGAUGCAACGCGAAGAACCUUACCAGGGUUUGACAUCCUGCGAAUCUCUUGGAAACGAGAGAGUGCCUUCGGGAACGCAGUGACAGGUGGUGCAUGGCUGUCGUCGGCUCGUGUCGUGAGAUGUUGGGUUAAGUCCCGCAACGAGCGCAACCCACGUCUUUAGUUGCCAGCAUUCAGUUGGGCACUCUAGAGAGACCGCCGGUGAUAAACUGGAGGAAGGUGUGGAUGACGUCAAGUCAUCAUGCCCCUUACAUCCUGGGCUACACACGUACUACAAUGCUACGGACAAAGGGCAGCAAGUUCGCGAGGACAAGCAAAUCCCAUAAACCGUGGCUCAGUUCAGAUCGUAGGCUGCAACUCGCCUACGUGAAGGAGGAAUCGCUAGUAAUCGCAGGUCAGCAUACUGCGGUGAAUACGUUCCCGGGCCUUGUACACACCGCCCA